rnacentral:rRNA from 1 species
UACAGAGGUGGCAAGCGUUGUUCGGAAUUACUGGGCGUAAAGGGCGCGUAGGCGGUUCGUUAAGUCCUGUGUGAAAUCCCCCGGCUCAACUGGGGAACUGCACAGGAAACUAGCGGGCUUGAGUUCGGGAGAGGGAAGCGGAAUUCCGGGUGUAGCGGUGAAAUGCGUAGAUAUCUGGAGGAACACCGGUGGCGAAGGCGGCAUCCUGGACCGGUAUUGACGCUGAGGCGCGAAAGCUAGGGGAGCAAACGGG